UUUUUUAUUCGACGGGGAAUUAAAUUCCUGAGGUUAAACUAAAUGGACUAUAACGGACGAGUCACUUUAGAGCAGGUCUUAGAGAUAUUCCUAAAAGAAUUUUCGUCUCGUCGGUCGCUUGAUAGCACGAUAGCUUGAAUAAUCCUCAACAGAUCU